CUGAGCGUGAAGGCACUCCCUUAGUGCACCCAAAACUCCUGUGGCUGGGAAAGGACCAUUCUGAAACUCAGUGUCUGGAAAAGGACUACUUGUGCUUCAGAAAGGAACUGAUGAUCCCCUCCUGAAAGCAUGGUACACCUGCCACCUGGAUUGUAGUCUGAGCUAGAGAAUAGCAGAAUUAUAUGAUCUGGAAAGUUCUGGACAUAUAUAACUGGUGGAAAAUGCCAGAAUUACCUCAUCCGAGUCAAGGACAGAAUGAAUAAAAAAUUCUGACCAAAGUCAAUUACCUGCAACCCUAUAAAUAACCAUCUUAAGUGAGACCCUUUGAGGUCUCCAGGACUGCAGCGGGCUGCAUCCAGUAUCUCCCUCUUAACUUGAAUGCCUUUCAGGGUCGACUGCUGAUAAGAGGAACAGGGCAAGUCCAGGCUCCUCACAACUCAAAGACUGUCCAUUGAGAAUGCUGAUAUGUUGAAAGCUGUAAACUCCAGAGAUUGGAAAGCUGUCACAAGACUGCUCAGCUGUGGUCUGAGGUGGUGCUUCAGGUGCAGGACAAGAUGAACAGCUCAGAGUAAACCGAUGCAGCCUAAUCCAGGGAAAUCAGCUCUUUCUUCUCCAAAGUGGUAGAUAUUUAUGUCAAAGUGAUCAGCAGUGAACCAGUUAAUUUUUCUGACACUUGAAUGAGGGCCCUGCAUUUCUGAGGGAGUACUCUGCAGCCAACCCCACUUGGAACCCUUCCUGCAGCUGCUCACAGGGGCUUGGCAUUCCCAAAGAUGCCACCGAGAAAGCUGGAGACGAGGAGGAGGCAGCACCAGGAGAGCAGUCAACUCUCUGCAGACAGGCAGAGAGUGCUCCAGGGACUACCACUGGUCCAUGGAUGACAGAUGGGAACUUACGGUCUAUAGCAUAACAGAUGGAUCACAGCUCUGGUUUCCACUUGCAUGGAGAGAAUCAAAGGAUUAUGGGGCAGCUAAAUGAAAACACCUAAUCAGAAGAUCUGUGAUUCAGUGCAGUGAUUUGGGAGGAUGUUAUUUGCAGGGGUGAAAACCUUGUGGCAGUGACUAAUGCGUAA